UGGGGAAUAUUGGACAAUGGGCGGAAGCCUGAUCCAGCAAUGCCGCGUGUGUGAAGAAGGCCUGCGGGUUGUAAAGCACUUUAAGCAGGAAAGAAGGGGUGGAGGUUAAUACCUUUCAUCAUUGACGUUACCUGCAGAAUAAGCACCGGCUAACUCCGUGCCAGCAGCCGCGGUAAUACGGAGGGUGCGAGCGUUAAUCGGAAUUACUGGGCGUAAAGCGCGCGUAGGCGGUUUGAUGAGUCCGUCGUGAAAGCCCUGGGCUUAACCUGGGAACUGCGGUGGAUACUGUCGGGCUAGAGUGUGGUAGAGGGGAGUGGAAUUUCCGGUGUAGCAGUGAAAUGCGUAGAGAUCGGAAGGAACACCAGUGGCGAAGGCGGCUCCCUGGACCAACACUGACGCUGAGGUGCGAAAGCGUGGGGAGCAAACAGG
rnacentral:rRNA from 1 species